GGGAAUCUUCCACAAUGGACGAAAGUCUGAUGGAGCAACGCCGCGUGAGUGAAGAAGGUUUUCGGAUCGUAAAGCUCUGUUGUUGGUGAAGAAGGAUAGAGGUAGUAACUGGCCUUUAUUUGACGGUAAUCAACCAGAAAGUCACGGCAAAUAACGUGCCAGCAGCCGCGGUAAAACGUAGUAGCCAAGAGUUUUCCGGACAUAUCGGGCGUAAAACGAGC
rnacentral:rRNA from 1 species